CCUACGUGAGGCAGCAGUGAGGAAUAUUGGUCAAUGGGCGCGAGCCUGAACCAGCCAAGUAGCGUGAAGGAUGACUGCCCUACGGGUUGUAAACUUCUUUUAUAAAGGAAUAAAGUGAGGCACGUGUGCCUUUUUGUAUGUACUUUAUGAAUAAGGAUCGGCUAACUCCGUGCCAGCAGCCGCGGUAAUACGGAGGAUCCGAGCGUUAUCCGGAUUUAUUGGGUUUAAAGGGAGCGUAGAUGGGUUGUUAAGUCAGUUGUGAAAGUUUGCGGCUCAACCGUAAAAUUUCAAUUGAUACUGGCAGUCUUGAGUACAGUUGAGGUAGGCGGAAUUCGUGGUGUAGCGGUGAAAUGCUUAGAUAUCACGAAGAACUCCGAUUGCGAAGGCAGCUUACUAAACUGCCACUGACAUUGAUGCUCGAAAGUGUGGGUAUCAAACAGGAUUAGAUACCCCAGUAGUC
rnacentral:rRNA from 1 species